UACGAAGGGUGCAAGCGUUGUUCGGAUUUAUUGGGCGUAAAGGGCGCGUAGGCGGUCACGCACGUCCGUUGUGAAAUCGCUCGGCUCAACUGGGCGGGGUCAGCGGAUACGGUGUGACUGGAGCAAGCUAGGGGGCAAUGGAAUUCCCGGUGUAGUGGUGGAAUGCGUAGAUAUCGGGAGGAACACCAGUGGCGAAGGCGGUUGCCUGGAGCUUUGCUGACGCUGAUGCGCGAAAGCGUGGGGAGCGAUCCGG
rnacentral:rRNA from 1 species